rnacentral:misc_RNA from 1 species
GGGUAAUGUGGUAUUGCCGCCAUAUUUGUUCUUCACGUUGAUGCGAAAAAAUGUUUUUGAUUUGAGUUUAAUAUUACAAGAAAUUCGGAAAUAUAUGGCCAGCUGAUUUGUUGACAAAUUAGGGCUUAAGAUGGCCCAGGAUGGCCAAAAGUUUCCAGGGGUUACGUCCCCUAUCAGUCUUGCCUAUCCAAAGCCCUUCGACAAUGAGCUGUCUGAGAAGUUGGAGGAAACUCUCCGACCACAUGGAGUAUUUGAGAGUGAAGAGGAACUUAACCAUCGUAUGGAGGUUUUGCUGAAAAUCAACACACUUGUGAAAGACUGGAUCAAGGAUGUUAGCAGACAAAAGAACAACAUUCCAGAAAGCAAAAUAGAUACUUUUGGAGGAAAAGUGUUUACAUUUGGCUCUUACAGACUUGGUGUACACACAAAAGGUGCUGAUAUAGAUACGCUGUGUGUGGCACCUCGACAUGUUGAGCGGCACGAUUUCUUCAAAUCAUUCUAUGAUCUGCUGAAGCAACAGUCUGAAGUGAAGAAUCUACGGCCUGUGGAGGAAGCUUUUGUGCCAGUUAUUAAGAUGGAAUUUGAUGGAAUUGAGCUGGAUAUGCUGUUUGCUCGGCUAGCUUUUCCAACCAUUACCGAAGACAUUGACCUGAGGGAGUUAUCUUUGUUGAGAAAUCUAGACGAAAAGAGUGUGAGAAGUCUUAAUGGAUGCAGAGUUACAGAUGAAAUUCUUCACCUUGUACCAAACAAGGAAAAUUUCAGAAUGACAUUGCGUGGAGUUAAACUUUGGGCAAAAAAAAAGGGCAUCUACUCCAAUUCACUGGGCUAUUUGGGAGGUGUGUCCUGGGCUAUGUUAGUCGCCCGUGUCUGCCAGUUGUAUCCAAACAGUGCUCCAGCGACCCUGCUACACAAGUUCUUCAUGGUCUUCUCCAAGUGGGAUUGGCCUAACCCUGUUCUGCUAAAACCACUUGAAACCGAUAACAAACUGGGAUUUCCAAUAUGGGAUCCACGGGUGAACCCUUCUGACAGGUUUCAUUUAUUUCCUAUCAUCACACCAGCCUACCCUCAACAAAAUUCAACAUACAAUGUCACCAAUUCAACUAGAUUCACCAUCAUGGAUGAAUUUCAAGAAGGUUUAGCUGUAGUAAAUAGGAUAUAUGAAGGAAAGGGAGAAUGGUCACAGCUGUUUGAACCCUCGAAUUUUUUCCAAAAAUACAAGCAUUACAUUGUGCUUGUAGCACGGGCAGAAGAGGAGAAUCAUUAUUUAGAAUGGUACGGGUUUGUGGAAUCAAAGAUUAGGUUGUUAGUUGGCAAUCUUGAGCGAAAUCCCUUUGUGAGGUUAGCUCAUAUCAUGCCCGAGUCAUUUGGACCGCUGAAUGAAACAGAGAGCAAAUUCAUGUGCAAGUGGUUUGUUGGUCUCAGUUUUCACAGUACGCAGUCAUCAAAUAUUGAUCUCACUUACGACAUACAGUCUUUCUCUGACAUUGUUCACAAGCAAGCAAUUCAUCUAGGUCUAUUCAAAGACGAUAUGAAAGUUGAAAUUUCUUAUGUGAAAAGAAAGCAGUUAGAACAGUUCGUACCUUUGGAAAUCAUUCAAAGAGGAGGAAAACCAGUUAAGGAGAAAAAAAGGCUGUUUCUGUUCGAACCGUCCUGCACUGCUGCCGAAAUAGAAAAGCAUGCUAUGGACUCGAAUGAUUCAUCAACAGAUAACGAACCAGCCGAAAUCAUUGUGAGGGAACACAGACUUGGUAAUGUGGACUGGUGUAUCUGCGGCAACUGUUUUUCACAAAAAACAGAACUGGAAUGUAUUUGUUGUCGGGGAAAAUGAAGAAGUGUCGUCCAGACGCGAACAAGGGCACAUAUGUAUCAUCCAAGAAAGAGAUUUUUCAACAAUAUUGGAACCUGUUGUACUGCAUAACACACUGGAUACUGCAUGAUUCAAGAGGAGAUCCAUUUCAACCUGAUGAUCACAGGGCACUACGGAAAGCACCAAAGGAGAAAGCAAUAGCAGCAGUAAUCUACGUCGAGUUAGUACGGAGAAACCAGCGCUGUCGGGUAGCAAGUCUGAAAGUGACCUGGUGAAGCAGAGCUCUGUGACGGAUGACGA